CAAGCCAGCCAUGCUUCACUGAGCUCCCUUCCACUUUUGUGGUCAUGUUUCCUCUUUAUGGUUAAGUGAACCUCAAAACAAUGACAAAGAAAUAUGCACUGAGUCACAUAUUCUAAGAAAUAGACUGUACUCUCCUCAAAUCGAAAUAACAGCACUUUAAUUCUUGGAUUUUUCCACAUUUUUCUUGGUUAAAGCUGCUAUUUGCUUUCUUUGAAUCUGUAUCAGUUCAUGCAGUUCUGCCAAGGGGGGAAGUUUCACAGGACACUGCUACUUUAGCACGUGAAAUAUUAAGAUGAACAGAAUACGUACAAAGGUGGGGAACCUGGGAAGAUUGAAUGUCCUCUGGAGUCCACGGGGGUUUCCAGGGGGAGAAGCAAAACAAAACGGAGCAUAGCGGCACAGUGGGACAGACUUUCCCAAGAUCCCCAGCUGGAUACCCCAAGAGAUCCAGCAGAAGAAAAACCAAAGCUGUAUAUGAGAUAAUUCUACAACACAGGGCAUCCAGUUUACCUAUGGAGAAAAUGAAGCUAAGGGUGAACUCAUGAUUUAAAGAUACAAACCUGGUAAGAAAAUAUGCCAGCAUCAAGAGACCAGCAGACACAACAAAUAGGAGCAUUGCUAUUCCCAAAUGCCUAAAUUAAUAUUCUAAAAUAAAUAUUCUGAAAGUGAGAAUAAAGUAAUAACG
rnacentral:lncRNA from 1 species